rnacentral:rRNA from 1 species
GACGAACGCUGGCGGCGUGCUUAACACAUGCAAGUCGAACGGAAAGGCCUGCUUUCCCUCGUGGAUUGCGGGUACUCGAGUGGCGAACGGGUGAGUAACACGUGAGUGAUCUGCCCCCAACUUGGGUAUAAGCCUGGGAAACUGGGUCUAAUUCCCGAUAGGACUGCAGGGUGGUGCCUGUGGUGGAAAACGAUUUUCUAGUGGUUGGGGAUGAGCUCGCGGCCUAUCAGCUUGUUGGUGGGGUAAUGGCCUACCAAGGCGGCGACGGGUAGCCGGCCUGAGGGGGUGGACGGCCACAUUGGGACUGAGAUACGGCCCAGACUCCUACGGGAGGCAGCAGUGGGGAAUAUUGCACAAUGGGCGGAAGCCUGAUGCAGCGACGCCGCGUGGGGGAUGACGGCCUUCGGGCUGUAAACUCCUUUCGACCGCGAGGAAGCCACCUGGUUGGAAGGGUGGUGACGGUAGUGGUAGAAGAAGCACCGGCUAACUACGUG